UGGAGAAGUACGGCGAAGUUAAGACAGAUGCUGCGAGCGGGUACGAAAGUAACAGACUCGGCAAUGCCAGAACGACCGUGAACAGGGACGUCAACGGCAGUAAGAAGGACGGCGUGCGGCUUUCGGCCGAGUUGCAGAGAUCACCGGUGCAUGAGCAGUAGUGUGCCUGUACGUCGUGAGUGCCCGAUCUCUUCACGCAUUCCGCGUUGUCCCUCUCGUCCGUGAUGUAUCCGCAGCCUCUGACUACCCUGAUUUUCCCGUACACUGAAACCACAGAAACAUUCGAAUCAUUCCGUCAGGAGCUCCUCGCUUCGUUUACUAGGUCUGAUCACAAGAUUUCGCUCGAUUGUACUAUCCAAACGGGUCGAAGUCGACCUUGAACUUGAACAGUCCAAAUAUUUUGCUACUUCCCUGUUACGGGACUAUUUUCAAUGGUUUGCGUACUAAUUUCAUGCACGAGUGCGCGUAUGACCGAUGAAACGUUUCCGUCUCCGCCGUCGCGCCGGAUCAAUUAUGCAUAUCGGUAACGAGUUCGAUUGCGAGAAUAGAGUGGCGCCGAACCGAGGCG